rnacentral:rRNA from 1 species
AGAGUUUGAUCCUGGCUCAGGAUGAACGCUGGCGGCGUGCUUAAUACAUGUAAGUCGGACGGUGCGUUAGCAAUAGCGCAUAGUGGCGAACGGGUGAGUAACGCGUAGGUGACCUGCCCCAAAAUGGAGGAUAACAGGACGAAAGUCUUGCUAAUACUGCGUAAUCUUUAUCUAGUUAGAGAGGACAAAGGAAAGCCGGAAGGCGUUUUGGGAGGGGCCUGCGACCCAUCAGCUAGUUGGUAGGGUAAAAGCCUACCAAGGCAACGACGGGUAGGGGGCCUGAGAGGGUGAUCCCCCACACUGGCACUGAAACACGGGCCAGACACCUACGGGUGGCAGCAGUAGGGAAUAUUGCACAAUGGGCGAAAGCCUGAUGCAGCAACGCCGCGUGCACGAUGAAGGCCUUCGGGUCGUAAAGUGCUUUUCUGUAGGAAGAGAGAGGACUGUACUGCAGGAAUAAGGAUCGGCUAACUACGUACCAGCAGCCGCGGUAACACGUAGGAUCCGAGCGUUAUCCGAAUUCACUGGGCGUAAAGCGCUUGCAGGCGGCAAGGUAAGUUGGAUGUAAAAUCUUCUGGCUCAACUGGGAGAUGCCGUUCAAGACUGCCUGGCUAGAGGGCGAUAGAGGGAGGUGGAAUUCCUGGUGUAGUG